GUCAGCAGAGAGCCCACGGCGGGGCUUGAACUCACAAACCACGAGGUCACAACCUGAGCUGACACUCAACCGACCGAGCCACCCAUAGGCCCCCCAGAAGGGACUUUUGAACACAGGAGAGAAAAAUCAGACUGCUAAACAUAUUUGUCCCCAGCACCCCAAAGCAACAAACAAAAAAGGAGUUAAAUGAUUUGCCUAUGGCCACCUCCAUUCCCUUGCAUUCCUCCCCUGUCUUGAGGUCUGCCUCCCCUCUCUCCUCCCGGAGACAUUCCUCCCUCGAACCUCCCUGGCCAAUUUGUAAUUCUAAAUGGUCAUAGACUGUCACUGCCCAGAAAGUUGACUGGGGCAACCCAUGGAGUUCGGUAGCCCAUAACCCCACGUUUGUGAAGUCUCAGUCCCCGCUGGCCCCGUCUGCAUCUGAGAGGCGGGCAGUGUGCAGCGGAGACGGCCGCGAGGGCUGUUCGCAGAGGAGCUGGUGGGACUGCGCCCACUGACCCUCCCGCAGGAAGCGAGCCCCCGCCCCAGCCCCGGGUAGGAAGACAGAGUCUCCAGGGAGCGUGCAGGGGGAGCGUGCUCCUACACUAGAUGCUGAUGCUGUGCCUCACAUUCCACGCCGUGCUCCAAUCAGUCCUCCUGCCACCCUGGGAAGUAAGUGCGAAUGCAGUGUGCCCGGGAGGGACAAGCAAACCACUUGAGCUUGUGUAUUCACUUCCUACUGCUGCUGUGACAAAUGAUCACAACCUGGGUGGCUUGGAACCGUGCUGACAGCUCUGGAGGUCAGAAGUCUGCUCUGGGUUUCCCGGGGCUCACACCGACCGUGUGGAAGGGCUGUGUUCCCCCUGGAGGCUGUAGGGAGGAGCCUUUUCCUUGUCUUUCCUGGCUCCCGGAGGCAGCCUUCCUUCCUGCCUUGGCUCCUGGCUGCAUCUUCAAAGUAGCAUCUUCACAUCUCUCUGGCUGUUUCCCUCGUUACGUCCCUUUCUCUUACCCUGACCCUCCUGCCUUCUCUUGAUCCCCUUGUGAUUACUUUGGGCCCACACAGAUAAUCCAAGAUAAUUCCCCCCCUCUUGAGAUCCCUAAUCCCAUCUGCAAAGCCCUUUUAGCUGUGUGAGGGGACAUUUUCACAUGUCCCAGAGACUGAGCCGUGGGUAUCUUUGGGGGCUGUUACUGUGCCUGCUGCAGGUUGUAUAAGCUGGUACCUUCACCUCCCACUGUAGGGAAAGGGAAGAGGAACGAGGAAGAGACGUUAUCCCCUGUGGCUGUGGGAGGAGAGGGAAGAGCCUGGUCCAAAUGGGCCCUUCAUGGAUGACUGGCUAUGCCCAACAAGGACCAUGGGAGCCAACCUGACAUGUAGAAACCCUUCCACCUUGAAAGUGUAAACAUCCAUGCUUUCAUUUAAUGGGUAUUUAUUGAGCACCUAGUAUGUGUCAGGUACUGUUCUAAGCACUAGGAUUCUCCAGCAGUGAACGACAGCAUCCUAAACCUUUGCCCUCGGGGAGGUCCUUCUAACAGGGUGUUCGAUUCCUGCUGCCUUACCCAAUGACCACACGAUCAGCGGCCUAAAACAACAGAAACUUAUCUCUCACCCUUCUGGAAGCUAGAAAUCCAAAAUUGAGGUGUCCACAGAGCCAUGUUCCCUCUGAAGGCCCUAGGGGAAAGUGGUCCCUCUCCUCUCCCAGCUGCCGGGGGGCUCCUGGUAUUUCAGGGCCUGUGGCAGCAGAAAUGCAAUCCCCGCCUCUCACUUAUGUGGGUUUUUCCUCUUUGUGUGUCCACAUCUCCCUCUCCUUUCUCUUCGAGACAGCCGAUCACUGGAUUCCUGAAACCCAGGAGGAUUUACUCUUGAGAUCCUUUCAUUACAGACCCUAUUCCCAAAUAAGGUCACCUCCUGCGGUUCUGGGUGGACCUGAAUUUUGAGGGAAUGUUGUUCAACUCCCUGCAUGAGGGAAGAGGGACAGUGUAAAAAUAAAUAAGGAACUAGCAUGUCAGAUGGUGAGCAAUGUUAUGAAGACAAAUCCAGCAGAGGACAGGGGAGGGAAGCGCUGGCUUGGGGCAGAACAAGUUGUAGUCUGAACGGGACGGAGCGGCUCCAGAAGCCCUCACCGAGAGGGAGGGUCUCAGCCAAGACCUGAGGAGCACAUUCAGCUUUGGAGAUGUUCCCCCCCACCCCCGAUCAGGGGUUACGGCCACCCCUAGCUGAGUGGCCAGGAGGACAGUUUGAGACCGAAGUUUGUUGUAAUUCUUGAUUCGUUCCUCCUUUCCUUCCGAGCCGGGAUGUGUCACUGUGCAGUGACACCUCUUUAUGGUCCCGUGCGGCUCUAAUGACAGCGGUAAGGAUAAUGAUGGGAUUUGGGGGUGGCCCUUCCUUCUCGUGUGAGGACCCCAUUGUGCCGACUAAUUGUGUAGGAGCUCGUAGGACAGCUGUCUGUGGGGUGGAAGCAGUGGGGAGCAAAGGGGAAUACGUGCUUCGGACCUCAGGGCGUCACUGAAUUCCCCUGGCAGACGCCCAGCCCAGGCAUCUGGGUUACGGAGGAUGCUGAAAGGGAUCGGGGGGCCCUUCCAGGGGUGCAGAACCCCCACCCCCGCCGGGUUCUUCAUCAGCUUUGGCAACUGGGAGGAGCUAUGCACAGAUCCUACUUCUUUCAAAGCAGAAGGUGGAGAGGGGACGAAGUCAUUAAGGGGCGCAGCUCUUGCUACCCCGACAGUUGACAGAGGUCAACGCAGGGAGAGCGUUCACCUGACUCAGAAGCCGGUUUUGCUUGGAAAGGGCUGGCCGCUGAGGUCGUCAGAGCUCAGCCUCCAAACCGUUACCCGCACCGUCUCUUUAAUUGAUGUUCUCUGUCUUGGAACAAGUACCAUUAAGGAACGCCCCUUUUAGUAAAUACAUGUUUUAAUGGAAGAGAUUUUUUUUUUUUUUUGA